rnacentral:lncRNA from 1 species
GAAGCUCUGAAGAAUUGAAGAUUCAAACUUCUACAAACUCUAAAGACGUGCAAGUUCGUAUCAACCUCGAGAUCAACAACUUCUGAAAGAUUGAAGACUUUGAAGAUUAAACUUUCUUUGAAUUUCAGAAGAUCGAAGUUCAAAUUGACUUGCAACAACAACAUCAAAUGAGUAAAUACUAGAGAUUGUAUUCGCAAUAUUCAAUAUUUAUCAAUAUAACAAAGUUCAAUUCCAC